CGGGUGAGUAAUGUCUGGGAAACUGCCUGAUGGAGGGGGAUAACUGCUGGAAACGGUAGCUAAUACCGCAUAACGUCGCAAGACCAAAGAGGGGGACCUUCGGACCUCUUGCCAUCGGAUGUGCCCAGAUGGGAUUAGCUAGUAGGUGGGGUAACGGCUCACCUAGGCGACGAUCCCUAGCUGGUCUGAGAGGAUGACCAGCCACACUGGAACUGAGACACGGUCCAG
rnacentral:rRNA from 1 species